UACGGGGGGAGCAAGCGUUGUUCGGAUUUACUGGGCGUAAAGGGCGCGUAGGCGGUCAGCACAAGUCAGUUGUGAAAUCUCCGGGCUUAACUCGGAAAGGUCAACUGAUACUGUGCGACUAGAGUGCAGAAGGGGCAACUGGAAUUCUCGGUGUAGCGGUGAAAUGCGUAGAUAUCGGAAGGAACAUCAGUGGCGAAAGCGACUUCCUGGACCAAUACUGACGCUCAUGUGCGAAAGCUAGGGGAGCGAAUGGG
rnacentral:rRNA from 1 species